ensembl:lncRNA
AACAGUCAAUGAAAUUUAUUGAACUGGACCAUUUACUGAAACCAUUGAAAACAAGGGAAUGACAACAUAGAGAGGAACUUCUAACAGCCACUACAGUCCGCAGGUCUUGAAGUCAUCCUCGUCCGAGGUCCCUAAUGAGAUGCCUCAGCUGUUCCCCAUGCUGUGGCCCUCCCACCAUAGUCUCCCUUCCUGUGGACCCCACAGUCAACCUCUUGCCAGGACGAUGGACAAUGGUGAUGUCUUCUCACUCCAGGGCACCCUUCCGCUUCUGGCUGACAGGCUGGGUGGGGCCCUGCACUAUGGCCCACACAGGACAGUCACAGGAUGCUGGAGAAAACAGCAGGAGACACCCAACCAAGCCAAAGAAACUGAGCCACAAGUAACAGCAGGAACAAGCAGCGAUUGGCCUAAAUCUACACCGAGAAGGCAGAGUUGAGCUCACAGCACUGGACAAGAGUGAGCAGAGCCUGGGCUGGCACUGAAGCUCACAGCAUGUGCCAGGGCUGAGAGGGGGCUGCCCACUAGGACAGGACACCCAAUCUGGGAUCAUGCACAGCCCAAGGCUCUGCAAAGAAAUCAUGGCGUGUGUGUGUGUGCAUGCGCAUGUGCGUUGGGGGUGGAUUACUUGACACGUGGGUCACUACGGGGUCUACAGAGACACAAGUGGGCUUCCCAGAACAGGGAACAGCUUGCUGCAUCCAGGUGACAGUGAAUGGGGGUCCCCCUCACGGGAGGCCCCAGCGGCUGGCACCCUUGAGAUGACCCCUGAUCCUGACAUAUCCCAGGCCCGUGCAGGUGGCAGACAUCCUCAGGUGCCCCUCACUGAGGCUGGGGCUGCCACUUGGGAGAGCUGCCAGGCUGGCUGCCUGAGUUGGCAGGGCUGGGGCUCGGGCUCAGUGUGGUGCUGCCUUGGGCGGGGGUGCACCUCUCCCCUACCCAUUUGGGGUAACACAUGGUCAUCUUGGUCACUUGGAAGGGCUGAUGGUGGGGCAUAGAGCCGCUUGGGGAUCGUGGGGGGGCCGGGGGCUUGCUUUGGGCUGAGUAGACCCCUCCCUGGGCCUGGUCCCCAUGUGGGGUGAGGCGGCUGCCCUGGCCUCGCCUCCCCCUGCCUCCAGGGCUCUGCUGCCUGGGAGGAGGGAGGGCCCCUGGGCCUUUUGAGCCUACUUGCCCGAGGAGGACUCGGGGUGGCUCAUCUCCUCAGCCCCGUCCUCGUCUCCUGGCUCCUCCUGGAUGAGCCCCUCCUUGGGGGUCUGCUCGGCCUCCUGGUCUCCUGCCUGAGCCAGGCCUUCUAGGUCACUGCCAGGACCUCCUGGGCCCCCCCCGGAAGUACGGCCCAUCUGGGCAGGGGUGGGGUCCCCGGGGGCCUCUGAAGGUCCUGCCUGACCUAGCCCCGUAGGAGUAGGAGCAUUUUCAACUUCCCCAGUGGAAGGGGAGGCCUUGGUGGUCGCCUGAGGGGCAGGGGCCGCCCUGGCAGCAUCAUGGGUGUCAGGAGCUGCCUCAUCGGCCUCCUCACGUGCUGGGGCGGCCUCAGAGGUGUCUUGCUUGGAAAGGGCAGCCAGGGUGGUAUCUUCCUUGGGUGGGGAGGCCUUGCUUUCUUCUGCAGUGACGGGGGUGCCCUCAGUGGUGACCUCACUGGCUGGUGCGGCCUGGGCGGAAUCUUCACGGGCCGGUGCAGCAUCUUCAUGGGCCAGGGCACCCUGGCAGGUGGCUAGGUCUCCAACGUCCAGCUGGGCCCCUUCUUCCAUGUGGAACUGCUCACUUCUAGCCGGAGCGCCCUCCCACGCCUCCGUCUCCCGAAUGAGCUGCAGCAUCCCCAGAAAGUCAGGCGGCCUCCUCUCCAGACGCAUCCUCCUCAGCUUGUUCUCGAGCGUCUCAUUGGGCCGGGCCCGCAUCAGCACCUGCCUGGCGCGCAGCUGGUCU